ACUGCCAUGUUGCAAGCUGCCCUGUGAAGAGGCCUCCAUGACAAAGAACUGUAGGGUCCCCUGGACAACAGCCAGCAAGGCAAUGAGACCCUUAGUCCAAUAGCCCACGAGGAACUGAAUCUUGCCAAGAACCACAUGGAUGAGGUUGCAAGUAGGUCCUUCCCAAGUGUACCCUGGACGACAUUGUUACAUGUGCUUUCCCAAAUCCACGGACUUCUGGCUGAUCCGGGGUUGCAAUAUGCACUGCACCACCAUCCUCUCUCUUGGAAAUUCCCUUCGGCUGGGAAAGAAAUGGAUGAUCAAGGUCAGUGGUUUCCAACCAGGCUGAACAUCAGAAUCCACAGGAAUGAUGCUAAGCCCCAUUUCACCUCUGAGACUUUCAGGUUCAAGCGUCUGGAAUGGGGCCACAGAUCUGAAUUUUUAAAGAAGGGUUCUGGUUGACUCUGACAGUUACAUUAAAUGAGUAUAUUUUGGAACCACCAGGCUGAGUGGCCUUAAAAUUUUCUUCAAGAACUAAGGCUCCAGGGCAGGAGGGUACUAGGGAAACUGCCUGGCCACCUGACCCUUCUCUGAUCUCCUCACUCUCUCAGGUGACCCCUUCCUGGACCUAGCAUCCCUCAACUUUUCUGACUUCCCUGGACCAGGCUGGGAACUCACAUUCUCUUCUAGAGAAUAGAAUGCAAUAGAGUUGAUGGGAUGUCACUUUUGAUAUUAGUAUGUAAAAAGGCUGUGCACUCUCUCUUGCCUUCUCACUUGCUUUGAGGGAAGCCCACUGCCAUGUUGCAAGUUGCCCUGUGAAGAGGCCUCCAUGACAAGGAACUGUAGGGUCCCCUGGACAACAGCCAGCAAGGCAAUGAGACCCUUAGUCUCAUCAAUAGUCUACGAGGAACUGAAUCUUGCAAGAACCACAUGGAUGAGGUUGCAAGGUCCAAUUAGAUAAACUCAUCCUCGCUGGCAGAUAAUGGCACCAAUGUGAUCAUCCUCCUAGAGGUAUUUUCAUCUUGGUAUGGAGCCUCCAGAGCUAUCUUUGCUUGAAAGAAUGAAACUUCAGGAAUGAAAGUUUGCACAUAAAGCAAGCCCAUGAGAAAGACAUUUCGGGAAAACUAGAAUCCUGUUAAGUUAUGGGAUUUUUUUCAAGCCACAUGGUUGAUAAGUAGUCUGACCAGGAUCCUGGAGCAACACAAGGAAGACAAGGACCCUUGAAGACAAGGCAGCCUUGAAACCAAAUGAAGCCCUGGGCCAGUGAGCAUGGCAAGAGGAAGACUGUUAAUUGCGAGAAAGCUGGGUCUUGAAGAUGAUUCCAUAUCAACAUACAGGGAGUUCCACCACUGAAUGGUCUAUCGGUUGGGAAUGCCAUCAUUUAUUUUCACCAGUGGGGAAGAAUUGGUAUUAAUAUCAAAACCACAGUACUGUCAUACCCAGCUAUAAUUUGCAAUGUUUAUAUGCCUGUACGAAUGAAUAAUUAACAGUUAAAUGAAUCAAUAUAUAUCUAUCUAUGUGUAGGAAUAUCUAAUCUAUAAUAUAUGCUCGCGUAAGUGGUAAUUAAUCUCUUUUUUGAGACAGGGUCUUUCUCUGUCAUACAGGCUGGAGUGCAAUGACAUGAUUAUGGACCUUCAGGGAUUGAGCAGCUCGACAUCCCAAGGAUCAAGCAAUCCUCCGGCCUCAGCCUACCAAGUAGCUGGGACUACAGCCAUUUGACAC
rnacentral:lncRNA from 1 species